CACUGCAAAGCUAGCAGGCUCCGUGACCUCAAUGCGACCCCAUUUGUCAACGGCUAACCUCAUUGAGCCUUUGAACAUAUCUAUCUUUGAAUUGCGAAUGAUCACAGUAGUAUCUGGUUUCAUCAUGUCAACCUGAUCGUUGCGAGCCGUGAAUAGGAUGGUGCCGGUCUCAUCUCCGAUGAGGCACUCGGCGAUCCGUGACUGGCGGAGGUGCGGCGCCGUACCCUGGCCCUUGUGCAG
rnacentral:misc_RNA from 1 species